UCGCUGUGAUGAGUGAUUGUUAAACAUUCGUAGUUUCCACCAAAAGCUUGGCUAAUGAUGGCAACACCUUCCUUGGAUGUCUGAGCGA
ensembl:snoRNA SNORD14 Small nucleolar RNA SNORD14